rnacentral:RNase_P_RNA from 1 species
CCUGUGCAUCGCUUCGCCGUCCCGUGUCUUUGGCGCGGGGAGGAAAGUCCGGGCAGCGUAGGGCAGCGUGCUUCCUAACAGGAAGGGGCGUAUUCGGGAACGGAUGCGCUACGGAAAGUGCCGCAGAAAGGAAAACCGCCGACCCGCCGCAAGGUGGAGGUAAGGAUGAAAAGGUGGGGUAAGAGCCCACCAGUGCUUCUGGCGACAGGGCAGCUAGGUAAACCCCACGCGCUGAAAGACCGUGUAUACUGGAUGUUCCGUAAUGUCGGAACGUGGAAAGCCCGUCCUUCAAGGGCAACCUUGGGUCUGGAGGGUAGGUCGAUGGAUCCCGUUGGCAACAGCGGGACUAGAUAGAUGGCGAAGGCCCAAGUAAUUGGGAACAGGACCCGGCUUAUAGGUGCACAGGCUUU